CCCAUUGAUAGAUGGAGGCAGAAAUUUUAAGCAGCCUUUUAGAAGUCGGAAAACAGGUAGAAGACAGGAAGAGAAGGCUUGCUCUUCACCUCCAUGAGUGUGGGCCUGUGAAGUGAGGGCUUCUGCCAUCUCCCCACCACUGCUCAGCAGCAGGUGGAGGUGAAGCCCCACAUGGCCCCCAGUGAGGUUGUUACCACAGCCAUAGAUGUGGGGCGCUGGGGGAGCCUGACAGAAGCACUGGUGGAUCCUCACUGGUGGGAGGAUCCAUAACCAUAACACAGUUGGGGAAGUGAAGUGAUGUGACACAGUGCAGCAGGAAAAGGCCCUUUGUGACCCAAAUGCUGCCAGUGCCGUGGUGGCCAGGCCGGGGCCUGGGCUGUGGCAUGGCCGAGGUGGGCUGGGCCUCCGUGGACGCCGGCCUUCCCGCAGAGAACUGCGAAACCCCUCUGUGUGGCAGGGCCUGCUUUCUCCAUGUCGCAGCCUGCGUACAGUCAGCGGUUGUAUCAAACUGGCUCUUAAAUGCAGGGCUGUGUGCUGUGCAGCGGUGCGUGCUCGGCAAGUAGCUGGAGAUGCUUUGGUGUAGUAAAGGACUGGGACCUACUCCUGAGAGGAGAGGUUUUGCAGAAAACCCUUCAAAGAGCCAACAAGGAAACACAUGGCAUAAUGCUUUUAAGGACAGAAAACAGGGAUCUACAGCGUGUUUUUGAUUACGGCACUUUUUGGGCAUGCAUCAUCCCACCCUGCAGUGAGUUCAGCCCGACGCACGCACCAGCUUAAGGCUGCACCCGCUCUGGCAACUCGCUCUUGUCAAAAUAUUUACCUGGUCAUGUGAUGUCUGUUGACCUUAGAACAAGCGUUAUCACAUUGGAAAGUAAUGAUAAAAAAAUGCAGUACUACAGUAAAGCUAUUAUAAGCUUGUGCCAUUACUGGGGAAUAUGGUAUUGAUUUCUUAAUAAAUUAUGCCAUAACUUACA
rnacentral:lncRNA from 1 species